UCAUUACCGAGUUUACACUCCCAACCCAAUGUGAACGUUACCAAACUGUUGCCUCGGCGGGAUCUCUGCCCCGGGUGCGUCGCAGCCCCGGACCAAGGCGCCCGCCGGAGGACCAACCAAAACUCUUAUUGUAUACCCCCUCGCGGGUUUUUUUAUAAUCUGAGCCUUCUCGGCGCCUCUCGUAGGCGUUUCGAAAAUGAAUCAAAACUUUCAACAACGGAUCUCUUGGUUCUGGCAUCGAUGAAGAACGCAGCGAAAUGCGAUAAGUAAUGUGAAUUGCAGAAUUCAGUGAAUCAUCGAAUCUUUGAACGCACAUUGCGCCCGCCAGUAUUCUGGCGGGCAUGCCUGUCCGAGCGUCAUUUCAACCCUCGAACCCCUCCGGGGGGUCGGCGUUGGGGAUCGGCCCUCCCUUAGCGGGUGGCCGUCUCCGAAAUACAGUGGCGGUCUCGCCGCAGCCUCUCCUGCGCAGUAGUUUGCACACUCCUCGGGAGGCGCGGC
rnacentral:rRNA from 1 species